rnacentral:misc_RNA from 1 species
AAAAUGUGACUAGGAUUUCCUUUCACCUAGACAUUAAUGUAUCUAGCUCAUAGCAUCUAAAGGAAACCCUAAAUAGGAAAGUAUUACAAUAAACAUUUUCUGGAAAAUACAAAUGAUAGCACAGAAAAUAGAAGGUGUAAAAGGGAUAGAAUUUCCCUAAUGAGCUUCAAUCUUCACUCCUUGAGUUGUUUUCUUUCCUUCUUUAUUUCCUUCUUGAUGGGAGGACUCUUUCUCUCUCUAAAA